AUUAGUGUAUAUUAGAGGUCAUACAUAUAUAUAACUCUGAGAAGCCCUUAAGUGAUUAUUAAGGCCCAUUGACGUAAAGAUAAGCUAGGUAGCUAAACCAUUCUUUUCGAAAAUUUGUAAAGAAAUAGGGGACAUAGUAACCACAAUUUCAUAACCGAUAAACUGCACUGAGAAAAAACAAUAAAAUACUAAACCGAUGAAAACUCAAUUCAUUAUAUUCCUGUUUUUAAUCAAAAACAACAAACCGGAAUAAAGAAUGAAUAUAUGUUUAGUGCACUGUAACAUUCUCUUUAGUAGUCAUUUCAUCUUCAUAUUUUAAAGAAUGAAUAACAUAUACAAAUUAAGUGAUACAUUAUGGAUCAUACGAUUUAUUUGAUGUUUUUUCAGUGUAUUACAAAAGUGUAUUUUCUGUAGGUGCAUGUCUUAGUAAAGUUAUAUAUGACCGAGAAUGUCAUUAGCGUAAUCAGUCAAUGGUUUUUAUCCUUAUCAAAUAAUUUCAAUGGUUUAUCUAUUGAACCGUUUCAUCCCGCACAAUGAAUCUCUAUAUUUUAGUGAUGUGAUAAAAAUCCAUUUUUGUUAAAAAUAUGUGUAUAUGUUUACGCUAAUUGCUAAUUAAAAUAUCUAGCUCGCCGCUUUUGACCGCAGAAAUGGAAAGUUAUAUAUUGCAUUAAAAUAUCAAAUUUGUAAAUUUUACGUAAAUUUCCUUAUCAUAUUUAUUGUAUAUUUAUUAUGUGUGUGCGUUUCGUCUAAUUUUCUAUAGCUUUGUUAACAAGCAGUUACUUAUCACACAAGUUCGAUUACUUCUAGCCCAAGUUAACUUUCUUAUCACGCAAGAUAUAUAUUUGCGUCUAUUGCCAUCGGUGUUGUAAAUUAGUAAAUAAGCAUUUACUUCUGGGAUACUGUAAAUACGAUUUUUAUGGUAUAGUAAAUAUAUAAUGCAGCGUAGUAUUUUCUAGACGACUUUGCAACCCUGAAGUUACAAUAUAACUAUAAAUACUACGACUAACUAACGGCAUAACUCACCUUUCCAAUUCUAUCUUUUCAUAUAUUUCUACAGUAUUCGAACCUAGAAAUGGCUGCAUUCAACUCAGUUGCUGAAUUGAAACCAUUCAAGUUCAUGUGGAAGAUACAAGUGAAGAUCAUUAGGCUUUGGAAACAAUACUCUGGUGGUGGUGGAUUGACCAUUAAUUGAAAUGGUGUUAGUUGACAUGAGCGGGGACAAGAUUCAUGCUACUGUUAAACAGGAAUUGAUGAGUCAGUGGAGCUAUAGUUGCUAUGGGGGAGUUGCAACAAAUUGGAGAACUAGGACCUGGCGAGAUUUAUUCUUAUCAGACUACCAGGAUGGAGUUUUAUUUGGUUAACAUAGGGUUUGAACUUCUGACUUCUACCAUGAUUUUAAUUUCUAAAUAGAUCUAUGCUUUUCAUAUACAUCAAGUUGCUAACUAUAUGGUAGUUACAGCUUGAAGCACAUAGUUGAAGCCGUGACUUUGAACAAUUACUACCGUACCUCACCUGCUAAAGUCGAUCUGUGUGUUUUGAGGUCAUGGAGUAUCGUGUGGGGAGAAGGUGGCUUCAACUAUGUAACUAACCUAGAAGGUGGUUCUCAAAUCUUAUUUGAUCAUGACAUGGCAGAAAUUCAAAACUUCAAAUCAAAGAUUCCUACCACAGAAUUAUGAAUUCAGACAUGGAGAGUUUAUCAAACUUGAAUGCUUUUUUUCUUUUAAAUAAUUUCCCUAUUUACAUUUUAUAUCUAUGUUUUGUGUUUCAGAAUCUUGCUAUAGAACAAUUUAUUUUAAGUUUUCUAAUUAUGCAUCUUAAUAAAAUUAUUGAGCUUUUUAGUUAUAAUCGUUUAUCUAUUAUUUUCCGAUCAAAGUUAUCUACUGUUUUAAAUAUGUUUUGACGAUACCUAGAAAAAGAGUUUCCGAGUUGAAACAUACUAGAGCAAAUGAAUAGAAUCUCGCUGGCAAUCUGGGCUCCAAGAUGCUUAUUGACGCCGACUCGCCGAUGGUCACACACAGUAGAUCAAAUGACUACGCUGCCGACCCGGAAAUCAUCACGCCCUCUGCGACUUCUCACCUUCCUUGCUUGGCAAUCUACAACCUACUGGAUCUAGAAUGGGAUAAACGCCAGAUUGCACUCCAACACCUUCUGAUCAAUUGACACUCUCUUGCACUUCAUUGAUCUCCAAAUCUGGAGCAAAACUCAAAGCUUCAGAGAAUCAAAUCCUCGACUCUCUUCCGCCAUGUUGCAGUCAUAGAUCUGUCUUUGUUGAAUGUUUCCAUCACUUCUACGUUAUGAUCGGUGGUCAAUUUCUCCAUGUCUCGAUAAUUCUAAAAGUCGUUAUUUUGCUUCUCUUCAAAUGGGCUGUGGGCUUGGGGACCUAGAAAGUUUUUUACUUGCAUAGCUACAAUAAAGCUGAAAGGCUGUAAACAUUUUAUAUCAUUUUGUUCUUAAUUUGAAAUCGAAUUUUCACAAAAAAAAUAGGAGGUUGCAAUCUAUUGGGCCACUAAUUUGUUUUUUUUUAAUUGGUUAGGGGUAAUAAUUUCUUCUUCAUUUCAAGAGCCCAUCAUUUCUUAUUUCCACCCGUUCUGGUCCAUAUCGUUUAAUAGUGAUCAGUUUGCACGAGUAUAUAAUUAUUUUCAUCUUAACAAUGUACAAUUUGUUUAUGAUUCAACGUUAUGAAAAAAUAUUAUGAUUAAACAUCAUAUAUUAUACAUGUUUUUUUUUAACAUGAAGGUUUCAUUAAUUUGCAUAGAAAGUAACAAACAUAGAUAAAAACAACAAAUGAACAAUCACCAAAGCUCAAACAAUGCAAAUAUUAUAUGUUAGUCAUGUAUUCUUCACACUAUACACAUAAUUUUUAACUAAAUAGAAUUAUUUACCACACAUUCUCACCCCGCGCAAGGCGCGGAUCUCUACCUAGUUAUAUGUAAAUGCAUUUGGCCCAAGAAAAAAAGUAAAUGCAAUUGAAUACAAAUUCAGAGCGUACUUUUAACAUGAUCGGAAGGAGGAAGGAGAUAUAGCUUUAUAUUUUUUCUUUAAAAAUAAAACUGUAGAUUUCUUUUGCUAUUCCUAUCCUUGUAAAUAAUUUUGUUGUAGAAUAUUAACUGUCGGUUUAAAAAGAUUCAAAAACUUACAUAUAAAUUUUAUAAAACAAAAAAUAAGUGUUCUAGAUUUAUGGUUUUCCACAGCUAAAAAUAAAUAAAAAAUAAAGAAAAAUCUGUAACUUAAAAAAAUCUUUACAAAGCAUGAUUGGCAAAAAUUUAGGCCGUAAAGAGAUCUUACAACACUUCUAAAGCACUUGCCAAUCAACCCCAAGUGGUAAUUAGUUGUGUACAUGGAAAUGGCCAUUUUUAACAUCAUGGAAGUUUUAUAAUACUCCCUCCAUUUAAGAAUGAUCCAUCUUUUUAAAAAAAAAAUUAUUUCUAAAAAAUUCAUAUUUUACAUUUUCAAUGUAUGUAAUAAUGGUAAAUUGUAAAUUACAAAGACAUUAAUUGUAUUUACUGAACUUGAUUAGUUAAAAAUAAUAGGAAAUAGCUGAACACGGAAAACAAUACAUUUAUUGUUAAAAAUUUAGGUGUUUUCUUAAUAAGUGUGAAAACUCUAGAAUAUACAUUAUUUUAAAACGAAAGGAGUAUAUUUUUGGGGUUAUAAGUUGUUUCAUCAACGUCUUUGUUUGGUUUUGUACCUAAUGAUAAAUGCAAUUAAGUUUACUAGUUUAGAACUAUAUAGGGUUUUUAGUGAUUAAACCUCUCAACUAAAGAUGAAUCGUAAAAAAAUACAUUCAACUAAAAGUCAUGUG